AUUGAACGCUGGCGGCAUGCCUAACACAUGCAAGUCGAACGGAAAAAGGUAGCUGGCUGCUGAAUUCAGCCGCAGAGGGGAGUGGUAUACCUAGGCGUCUGCCAGCUAGUGGGGGAAAGAGGCCGAAAAUGGGCGAUAAUCGCGCAUACGUCAUGAGGGAGAACGUGGGGGAUCAUGGGACCUCACGAAAGGAGCGGAGCCUAGGUCGGAUUAGAUAGUUGGGGGGGUAAAGGCAUACCAAGGCGACGAUCCGUAACUGGUCUGAGAGGAAGACCAGACACACUGGAACUGAGACACGGCCCAGACUCCUACGGGAGGCAGCAGUGGGGAAUUUUGGACAAUGGGCGAAAGCCUGAUCCAGCCAUGCCGCGUGUGGGAUGAAGGCCUUCGGAUUGUAAACUACUUUAAUUUGGGAGGAAGGGCAUCUAGUUAAUACCUUGCUUUUUUGACGGUACCGUAAGAAUAAGCACCGGCUAACUACGUG
rnacentral:rRNA from 1 species